AACGAACGCUGGCGGCGUGCCUAACACAUGCAAGUCGAGCGAGAAAAGGGGGGCAACUCCCUGAGUACAGCGGCGCACGGGUGAGUAACACGUAGGUGAUCUACCCUCGAGCUCGGAAUAACCUGCCGAAAGGUGGGCUAAUACCGGAUAUGACCACGGGAGUCUCGGCUCCUGCGGUGAAAGAUGGCCUCUAUUUAUAAGCUAUCACUCAAGGAUGAGCCUGCGUGCCAUUAGCUAGUUGGUGGGGUAACGGCUCACCAAGGCGAUGAUGGCUAGCUGGUCUGAGAGGAUGACCAGCCACACUGGGACUGAAACACGGCCCAGACUCCUACGGGAGGCUG
rnacentral:rRNA from 1 species